rnacentral:lncRNA from 10 species
CUGCCGCCUUGCAGUUUGAUCUCAGACUGCUGUGCUAGCAAUCAGCGAGACUCCGUGGGCGUAGGACCCUCUGAGCCAGGCACCAAUGCUGCUCAUUGCAAUGUAUGGAGUGAAAGAGGCUGCCAUCGGUAUCCAGAAGAAGGUGUUACUUCGGUACCCAUACUCAUAAUCCAUAUGCUCCUGAAAUCAUGUGGAACAUGGAACUAGGACCUUCUGAACACGUAGCCUGAUUUACUUAUGAAGAAGCAAAUUCAACCAAGUGAUACGAAUUGUCUAAGGUCAUACAGUUAAUAACUUGUAAGGGCCCAGCACAGCACAGAUUUACAAAAUGAUACACAAAGACCUCAGAGGUGAGUCAAUGAUUUACCUCCCUACCUCCUCUUUAGUUGCUUUGUGCAACAAACAUUAAGGUUAAGUAAACUUGCAGAAUCUAUUUCUAAAACAAACUCUCCCAUGUCGUAUUUUUCAUUUUUUAAUUUAUUUUCUGUUUGGCCUCAUAUAUGCUUUCUAAAACAUACAGAGUCCUGUCUUAUUGAUGACCAGUAAAUGGGUCAGAGGAUCCUGUGGUUGUUGUCCUGGUGAGAGGAAGUAUGUAUUUGGAGACAGUUCCCACGGGUAACUUUUCUGAUAUGACUCGUAGAAUAGAUGUUCCAAAAGUUGAGGGAUAAAGCUAAUACCAAAAAGCAAUAAUCUAUGCCACAGGCUUUUUCUUUCUUUCUUUAACUUUAGGAAGCGAACUUUUGCUAUUGCACAGACCUGCUGCCUCCAGAGCGCCACGCCACUGAUUGUUUUCCUUGUUUCGUGGAAGGAAGACAAAACUUGUUCCAGCUCAACAAGGCUUCCUAUAUCUUUUGCCCCAUCAGUUUGUAAUUGUCCCCAAAUUCCAAUAUCUAAAACAUAAGAUCAAUAUUUUAUAAAGUGCCAUUUUAGUUAUGCAUUAUUUAGCUUUUCCUAUGAUAAAUUUUCCUA